UGAAGAUAUUUAUUAAAUUAAAGUG
rnacentral:piRNA from 1 species